CGGGGUGUAGCGAAGCCAGGUUAUCGCGCUACGUUCGGGACGUAGAGACCGGCAGUUCGAAUCUGCCCACCCCGA
rnacentral:tRNA from 1 species